rnacentral:rRNA from 1 species
GAUUGAACGCUGGCGGCAGGCCUAACACAUGCAAGUCGAGCGGUAGCACAGAGAGCUUGCUCUCGGGUGACGAGCGGCGGACGGGUGAGUAAUGUCUGGGAAACUGCCUGAUGGAGGGGGAUAACUACUGGAAACGGUAGCUAAUACCGCAUAACGUCGCAAGACCAAAGUGGGGGACCUUCGGGCCUCAUGCCAUAAGAUGUGCCCAGAUGGGAUUAGCUAGUAGGUGGGGUAACGGCUCACCUAGGCGACGAUCCCUAGCUGGUCUGAGAGGAUGACCAGCCACACUGGAACUGAGACACGGUCCAGACUCCUACGGGAGGCAGCAGUGGGGAAUAUUGCACAAUGGGCGCAAGCCUGAUGCAGCCAUGCCGCGUGUGUGAAGAAGGCCUUCGGGUUGUAAAGCACUUUCAGCGGGGAGGAAGGCGGUGAGGUUAAUAACCUCAUCGAUUGACGUUACCCGCAGAAGAAGCACCGGCUAACUCCGUGCC